GCCAUCUGGGGCAUUGACAGGCCCGGAGCCCCAUGGCGUGCGCCAGGCGUCUGCUGCUGCUGCUCUACCUGCUGCCUGUGUCCUUGGCCUGGAGGCCCAAGACCGUGUUCCAUUUGCAUAAGGUAAGCACCACCCCCCCCCAGCGGAGGUGGCCCCCACUCGGGCUCCCGGGGGUUCCCGGCUCCUCUCUGCAGGUGCCUGCCCCCACGAAUCCUGUCUGGGCUCCCUGGAAAAGAAGGCCCCCGGGCGUUUGGGCCCCCAGGACAGCUGACGCUGGCUCCCCCAGGCCGCAGGGUCCCCGACGAUGACGGUCACAGGCCGGGGAGCCAGGCAGGUAGCGCUGUGCCAGGUGCCCGGUGGGGCCACUCCGUGUUCAGCACGUUCUGCUUUGCUUUGGAAAACAGACUUGUGUUUCAUAAGAAGCUGUUCUGUAGGUGAACACGGGCUGGAGAUCCUAUUUUUAACUAAGUUUACACACAAGUACGUAAAACUCUGAGUGAGGACCCGCCGCGGGGAAAGUCGUUACAAGGGACCCACACCAACAACAGCUCUGGGGCCUCAGUAGUUUGCUGAGUUUGCAAAGGGGUGUUGCGACCCGAAGCUUGAGAACUUCCAUCAAAGGCCUCAGGAGCAGGGGGCCUCCAGCGGCCGGGCCAGGACCUGGGUGAGGGCCAGCCACGGCUCCUGCCCGCACGUGACCCCGCCCCGCCCUCCUGGGCCCGUAGAAGCUGUGAGAGUCCGCGGCAGCUCUUCCCCUCCCCGCUCCGCUGCUGCUCCUCUCGUCCUCUGUGCCUUGGUUUACCUCCCGUCUGCGUGGCUCACCACACACAGACCACCCUGGAGUCACAGAAGCUCUGCACCACCCAGACCGGCUCCCUCCAGGGCCGGGCCCGGCAGAAGGCGCCCGAGCGGGCUGGCCGGCACCAGGAGGAGGGUCCCGCCGCCCAGAGCUGGCCGCUGAGGGGGCAGGGGGCCGCCGGAGAGAACGGGGUCUCCCCUCCGGCGGCGGGCAGCCGAACGGCCACGCCUGCUCCAAGCACUCCGGAUGCCGGAGCCGCUGCUGUGUGCUCAGCAUCUCCGGCUCCGAGCUGACCUGCAGACCCAUGACCAUCUUCCUGCAGUGUCAGCCUUGGCGCAAGCCCAACGGGAGCCACUGCACCAACGACAACGAGUGCCAGAGCAGGUGUUGCCUCGCUCCGACCGAGGUCAGCCACCGCCGCUGCGUCCCCCAGAGAGGGAUCCUGGUUCAAUGCCUGAUCUUGGUGAGUGCCCCCGGUGCCCGGGUGGAGGGGCUGCCCGGAGCCCUGGACUGGCCCUAGGGCCUGCGCCGAGUGAACGGGAUUCUCCGAACCCACGGAGCGUCCCCUUCCAGGAGAGGCUGUCCUCUGCCAUCUGGACACUGGCCUCCGCGUCCGCUUCCUUGAGCAGGAAGGCCCGGAUGAGGCCUCCGAAAAGGAAACAGGUCACAGACAGGUCCCUCGGGGUCUCAGCAGGGAACAGGUGCCCCCGCCUGGGAAAGGGCCAUCUGAUGCGUGGCUGGGUGGUGAACCCACCUCACCAGGUGCCGGGAUUCCCAACAUGGGGCU